rnacentral:lncRNA from 1 species
GCACAUCUGAUACAGAUCUUGGUGGUGAUAGGGUGGGUGAGUGUGACCAUGGGUUCAGUGUUUUGGUUGCUGAAAGUGUUUGGGCUAUUGAGGAUCUCGGCAGACGAGGAGAUGGCUGGCCUAGAUGUGACAAGCCAUGGAGGAUUGGCCUAUGCAUAUCAUGAUGAAAACAAUGAUCAAAGUGAGAAAAAUUCGUUUCCGAUUGCAAAUAUGGAUGGUAGUAAUGCUUGAUUCGUUAUUGUGAUUUAGAUUUUGUAGAAAUUGGUGUAGGCUCCCUAGGAGAAUGGCACUGCCUUACUAUGUCGUUCAAAUGUUAUACUAAACCUGCAUGCUUGUAUGCAUCAUAGUUUGAUUCGUAUGGACCUUUAGAAUUUAAGUUGUUUUGGAUUAAUUGUUUGAGUUUGCAAUUUAAUAUAUAUUAAAAAUAAAUAAGCAAAUGAAUAUUUGUUAUAUAUCUUGCUCUGUAUAGGAAAUUAGGGAUCUGUAGAGGCAUUUGCCUCAGCUUGCACCGUGUAAAGUCCUCUCUCUCUUAAAAUUAUAUAAGGACUAAACAAAUUUGGUUUGAUCUGUUCAGCUAUUACAUCAAUAAUAAUUAAUUAAAUAAUUAAAAGUUUUUUAAAAAAUUAUUAAACCGGUUCAACUUGUUUAACUAUUAAUUUUUUAGUUUUUGUUUUAAUCUUUUAUUUUUAUUGGGUUCAAACAAUUUUUAAUUCAACUGGUUCAAUCAUUUUGUUUGAACCAAUAUACUGAUCGAUUUUUGGUCUAAUUUGUUCGAUAGAAUAAUUUAGUUAUAUUUCAAGAACAUUAUUCACAUUUAAUAAAAUCUAAAUUUAAUAAUGAAAAUGUCAAAUUCAUGUAAAAAAAUUGCAAAAAGUAAAAUGAACUUAAGGGCAAAAGCUAUAAUAUCCCUAUUAAAUCAACAACUACAUACCCUCCCUGAUAAAAUAAUAACGAAAAAGGAGUAAAAAGCGUUGGAAAGACGAGGAGAAAAACUAGCACUCACGAUGUGAAGAUUGUCAAAACGGCAAUUGAAUCCCUCGGUUAAGGCGGUGACAGUGAUGAAGCCAUAUUUAAGCAAAUGCCUUUUCACCUAUAUCAUACAUCCAACGGCUGGUAUUGCACCGAAUAUCAAUCAAUGUAAUCCCAGCCGUUACGUGGUUCUCCCAGUGAAGUCUACCUAACCCUCUUUUCUUUACAAGCCCAUGGCGGUGACUUUGACGCGUUAAAACUGAGCUUGCAAGAACG